GAUGAACGCUAGCGGCAGGCUUAACACAUGCAAGUCGAGGGGUAGAGGUUGCUUGCAACCUUGAGACCGGCGCACGGGUGCGUAACGCGUAUGCAACCUACCUUUUACAGAGGGAUAGCCCAGAGAAAUUUGGAUUAAUACCUCAUAGUAUAUAACCUUCGCAUGUUGGUUAUAUUAAAGUUCCAACGGUAAAAGAUGGGCAUGCGUCCUAUUAGCUAGAUGGUAAGGUAACGGCUUACCAUGGCAACGAUAGGUAGGGGUCCUGAGAGGGAGAUCCCCCACACUGGUACUGAGACACGGACCAGACUCCUACGGGAGGCAGCAGUGAGGAAUAUUGGACAAUGGGCGCAAGCCUGAUCCAGCCAUGCCGCGUGCAGGAAGAAGCAUCUAUGGUGUGUAAACUGCUUUUGUACAGGAAGAAACACCCCGACGUGUCGGGACUUGACGGUACUGUAAGAAUAAGGAUCGGCUAACUCCGUGCCAGCCGCCGCAGUAACAC
rnacentral:rRNA from 1 species